AUAAUAAUAAGAUCUCCAAACCGUACUCCUACUCGAUACGUCUCUGGCGUACAGAGCGGUAACAUGUCUCUGCAUAUCUGAGCUUGGGUAUGCCGGUUACCCGAUAUAAUCUCCCAUGGGAGGAUGAUUUAAAUGGCUAAAUUGAGAGAA
rnacentral:ribozyme from 1 species